rnacentral:rRNA from 1 species
AUUGAACGCUGGCGGCAGGCUUAACACAUGCAAGUCGAGCGGAGAUGAGGUGCUCGCACCUUAUCUUAGCGGCGGACGGGUGAGUAAUGCUUAGGAAUCUGCCUAUUAGUGGGGGACAACAUUCCGAAAGGAAUGCUAAUACCGCAUACGUCCUACGGGAUAAAGCAGGGGAUCUUCGGACCGUGCGCUACUAGAUGAGCCUAAGUCGGAUUAGCUAGUUGGUGGGGUAAAGGCCUACCAAGGCGACGAUCUGUAGCGGGUCUGAGAGGAUGAUCCGCCACACUGGGACUGAGACACGGCCCAGACUCCUACGGGAGGCAGCAGUGGGGAAUAUUGGACAAUGGGGGGAACCCUGAUCCAGCCAUGCCGCGUGUGUGAAGAAGGCCUUAUGGUUGUAAAGCACUUUAAGCGAGGAGGAGGCUACUGAGACUAAUACUCUUGGAUAGUGGACGUUACUCGCAGAAUAAGCACCGGCUAACUCUGUGCCAGCCGCCGCAGUAAGAG